UAGGGAAUCUUCCACAAUGGACGCAAGUCUGAUGGAGCAACGCCGCGUGAGUGAAGAAGGUUUUCGGAUCGUAAAGCUCUGUUGUUGGUGAAGAAGGAUAGAGGCAGUAACUGGUCUUUAUUUGACGGUAAUCAACCAGAAAGUCACGGAUAACUACGUGCCAGCAGCCGCGGUAAUACGUAGGUGGCAAGCGUUGUCCGGAUUUAUUGGGCGUAAAGCGAGCGCAGGCGGAAUGAUAAGUCUGAUGUGAAAGCCCACGGCUCAACCGUGGAACUGCAUCGGAAACUGUCAUUCUUGAGUGCAGAAGAGGAGAGUGGAAUUCCAUGUGUAGCGGUGGAAUGCGUAGAUAUAUGGAAGAACACCAGUGGCGAAGGCGGCUCUCUGGUCUGCAACUGACGCUGAGGCUCGAAAGCAUGGGUAGCGAACAGG
rnacentral:rRNA from 1 species